CAGAAAAUAGAAAUAUUUUGUCAAUCACAUCAACUGAACACAUUAGGAAAUUCUCCCGUUUCGUUAAAGUAGAUAUCAUAUCAUCUCCCUAGGCAGUUUAGUGUUUUGCUGGCUGGAAGAAAUGACAUUCUAACCUGUCUGCCCAUUUUUUCUUCUUCUAACCAUCUGUAGGAGGCAGAGUGUGAAGACGGAAGACAAGAAGGAGAGCGGCUGUGACUGUUAGACCUCUUUCCUGUGGUUACAUCACGUGGUUGAGGAGGGUUCAAAAGGAGACAACUUCUUCUUCUUCAUUCACUUCUGGAGCCGGGCGACGGCACCUGCUCAGCUGGCCGAAGACUAUCGCUUCAAAGAGAAAAAAGAAAAAGUCGAGGUGCAGAAGAGGAGACUACAGAUAACAGAACAAGUCCAGCAGAUAUACAGUGCAGUCAUCCAUAAAGUAGAAAGCACUACUAAACUCCUCGCCACAGUGUAGUGUUUCCUACUUUAUGGAUGAGUGUACUGUUGGCUUCAGGGAAAACGGCGGCCUCUCCCCGGAAGUCCAAAAAGAGGAAGCGGCUUUUGUCUCGCGAGGCUACGCGUUACCCAGAGUGUUGUUGCUGCUCUCUCACAUGGGUGCUGUGUAGCUCGCAGCAAAGCUUGCAAACUCUUUCCUCUAUUUUAGCAUGAUUUCAACUACGGGCUGGAAAAAGACAAUCAUGCGUGUGCAUGCAAUCAAAUGUCAUCGGGAUGAAAUAAAGAAUCAAUAAAC